rnacentral:rRNA from 1 species
AGUGAACGCUGGCGGCGUGCCUAAUACAUGCAAGUCGAACGGAGUGGCGCACGGGUGAGUAAUGUAUAGCUAAUCUGCCCUACACUAGAGGACAACAGUUGGAAACGACUGCUAAUACUCUAUAGUGUAGGAUGAGGCUAUAUUGUAUCAGCUAGUUGGUGAGGUAAUGGCUCACCAAGGCUAUGACGCAUAACUGGUCUGAGAGGAUGAUCAGUCACACUGGAAGGGAGGCACAGUCCGGGCUCCUACGGGAGGGAGCGGUAGGGGAUAUUGCUCAAUGGGAGAAACCCUGAAGCGGCAACGGCGCGUGAAGGAUGACACUUUUGGGAGCGUAAACUCCUUUUGUUAGGGAAGCGGUACCUAACGAAUAAGCACCGGCUAACUCCGUGCCAGCAGCCGCGGUAAUAC